rnacentral:rRNA from 1 species
GAUGAACGCUGGCGGCGUGCCUAAUACAUGCAAGUCGAGCGAACAGAUAAGGAGCUUGCUCCUUUGACGUUAGCGGCGGACGGGUGAGUAACACGUGGGUAACCUACCUAUAAGACUGGGAUAACUCCGGGAAACCGGGGCUAAUGCCGGAUAACAUUUAGAACCGCAUGGUUCUAAAGUGAAAGAUGGUUUGGCUAUCACUUAUAGAUGGACCCGCGCCGUAUUAGCUAGUUGGUAAGGUAACGGCUUACCAAGGCAACGAUACGUAGCCGACCUGAGAGGGUGAUCGGCCACACUGGAACUGAGACACGGUCCAGACUCCUACGGGAGGCAGCAGUAGGGAAUCUUCCGCAAUGGGCGAAAGCCUGACGGAGCAACGCCGCGUGAGUGAUGAAGGUCUUCGGAUCGUAAAACUCUGUUAUUAGGGAAGAACAAAUGUGUAAGUAACUGUGCACGUCUUGACGGUACCUAAUCAGAAAGCCACGGCUAACUACGUG